rnacentral:tRNA from 1 species
AGGGAUUUAGCUCAAUGGCAUAAGCGCCUGCCUGACAAGCAUGAAGUUGUGAGUUCAAUCCCUA